rnacentral:rRNA from 1 species
UACGUAGGGUGCAAGCGUUGUCCGGAAUUAUUGGGCGUAAAGAGCUCGUAGGCGGUUUGUCGCGUCUGCUGUGAAAACUCGGGGCUUAACCCCGGGCCUGCAGUGGGUACGGGCAGACUAGAGUGCGGUAGGGGAGACUGGAAUUCCUGGUGUAGCGGUGGAAUGCGCAGAUAUCAGGAGGAACACCGGUGGCGAAGGCAGGUCUCUGGGCCAUUACUGACACUGAGAAGCGAAAGCAUGGGGAGCGAACAGG